AACGAACGCUGGCGGCAUGCCUAACACAUGCAAGUCGAACGAAGCCUUCGGGCUUAGUGGCGCACGGGUGCGUAACGCGUGGGAAUCUGCCCUUGGGUUCGGAAUAACAGUUAGAAAUGACUGCUAAUACCGGAUGAUGUCUUCGGACCAAAGAUUUAUCGCCCAAGGAUGAGCCCGCGUAGGAUUAGGUAGUUGGUGGGGUAAUGGCCCACCAAGCCGACGAUCCUUAGCUGGUCCGAGAGGAUGAUCAGCCACACUGGGACUGAGACACGGCCCAGACUCCUACGGGAGGCAGCAGUGGGGAAUAUUGGACAAUGGGCGAAAGCCUGAUCCAGCAAUGCCGCGUGAGUGAUGAAGGCCUUAGGGUUGUAAAGCUCUUUUACCAGGGAUGAUAAUGACAGUACCUGGAGAAUAAGCUCCGGCUAACUCCGUGCCAGCAGCCGCGGUAAUAC
rnacentral:rRNA from 1 species